ACUUAGCUGACGAGUCCCAAAUAGGACGAAACGCGCGCCCACCCUACCUCUAAAC
rnacentral:hammerhead_ribozyme from 1 species